UGGGGGAUAUUGCACAAUGGGCGAAAGCCUGAUGCAGCGACGCCGCGUGGGGGAUGAAGGCUUUCGGGUUGUAAACCUCUUUCGCUAUCGAACAAGGCCCGCUUAGGGUGGGUUGAGGGUAGGUGGAGAAGAAGCGCCGGCUAACUACGUGCCAGCAGCCGCGGUAAUACGUAGGGCGCGAGCGUUGUCCGGAAUUAUUGGGCGUAAAGGGCUUGUAGGCGGCUUGUUGCGCCUGCUGUGAAAACGCGGGGCUUAACUUCGCGCGUGCAGUGGGUAAGGGGAGGCUUGAGUGUGGUAGGGGUGACUGGAAUUCCAGGUGUAGCGGUGGAAUGCGCAGAUAUCUGUGGGAGCACCGAUGGGGAAGGGAGGGCACUGGGCCAUUACUGACGCUGAGGAGCGAAAGCAUGGGUAGCGAACAGG
rnacentral:rRNA from 1 species